rnacentral:rRNA from 1 species
CCUACGGGAGGCAGCAGUGGGGAAUAUUGCACAAUGGGGGAAACCCUGAUGCAGCGACGCCGCGUGGAGGAAGAAGGUCUUCGGAUUGUAAACUCCUGUUGUUGAGGAAGAUAAUGACGGUACUCAACAAGGAAGUGACGGCUAACUACGUGCCAGCAGCCGCGGUAAUACGUAGGGGGCAAGCGUUAUCCGGAUUUACUGGGUGUAAAGGGAGCGUAGACGGCAAGGCAAGUCUGAUGUGAAAACCCAGGGCUUAACCCUGGGACUGCAUUGGAAACUGUCUGGCUCGAGUGCCGGAGAGGUAAGCGGAAUUCCUAGUGUAGCGGUGAAAUGCGUAGAUAUUAGGAGGAACACCAGUGGCGAAGGCGGCUUACUGGACGGUAACUGACGUUGAGGCUCGAAAGCGUGGGGAGCAAACAGGAUU